AGAUCCAGGAAGCUAUGAGAGUGCCCUCUGAUGUUUACAGAUGGUGAGUCAACAAAAGAAAGUCAAGAACCUGAACCAGCCCACCAACAACAAUGAAAAGUCAGCAGUUUGCAACCUGGAAGAGGGUCCUCACCAGAACCUGACCAGGCUGGCACACUCAUCUCAGACUUCCAGCCUCCAGAGGCAUUUAACCAAGUUAUUUUUGUAGUGGUGUGAAGCUGAAGUGAACGCAAAUAACAUCCCAUGCGGAAGAACUUCCACAAGAAGAAAUCCAAAGGUUCACUAGGCAUAAUCGAUUUUCCAAUCAAUUAAACUUGAGGUUUUACCAGCUGCAAAAGGGAGGAGGAGACGGAGGGAAGAGUUAAACAGGUAGAAAACUUGGUUCAAGACAGAGCAAGGAAGGCUAGAGAAUGACGAGAGGCUGCAGUAAAAAGCACCUUGUCACACAGUUGAUCGUCGUCUGCAAGUUGGCAUCUUACCCUGGUGGGUUCCUUUUACAUCUUUUUGGCACAGCCUAGGCAAGUCAUGAAGAUUUGUUGUGAUUACUCAAGGCAGAGCUACAGUAAGGGGUGGGGCAAGGGAUAUCGGAUCUAGGAGAAUGCCAGUGCCUGUGUGAGUCUUGCUUGCCCCUGCAUGCCUCGAAAAACUGCAGCUUCUUUUCAAGGGUUCCGAGCAGGAGACCAAGGUGCACAAGUAAAGCCAGAGCUCAUCAU
rnacentral:sRNA from 1 species